CCAUGAGAACCAUUGAUAAGACCUCAAGGUUUGUGUCCAACAGAGUCUACAACAUGAGCAUCAGGAGCAGAGGACUGUGUUAUACACAAGGGGCUCCAGCUGGGAUGACAGUCCGGUACUGAUCCUGGAUGAUGGCAUUGAAGCACACCCCCUUCAUCCAUCCUGCUGUCAGUGGUAGACGAAGUGGAUCAGCAGGUGCCAAGUGCUGCUGAGAACCCAAACACUGAUCCGCGGCCGUACUGCCCUCUCCCCUUUGAGCACCGUAU
rnacentral:lncRNA from 1 species